AGGGUUUGAUUCUGGCUCAGGACGAACGCUGGCGGCGUGCUUAACACAUGCAAGUCGAACGAUGAAGUUAUGACGGAGGCUUCGGCCGACAGAAUAAUGGAAUAGUGGCGGACGGGUGAGUAACGCGUGAGUAACCUGCCUUUCAGAGAGGAAUAACAUUUGGAAACGAAUGGUAAUACCACAUAACAUUACGUUCUCGCAUGGGGAUGUAAUCAAAGAUUUUAUCGCUGAGAGAUGGACUCGCGUCCGAUUAGCUAGAUGGUGAGGUAACGGCCCACCAUGGCGACGAUCGGUAGCCGGACUGAGAGGUUGAACGGCCACAUUGGGACUGAGACACGGCCCAG
rnacentral:rRNA from 1 species